ensembl:lncRNA
CACACGUACCCACACACACACACACGCACACACGACCUAACCCGCCCACACACUGCACACACGGUACCAACGCUCCCGCGCGCAGACACACACACACACACACGGACCAACGCGCGCGCGCGCGCGCUCUCUCUCUCUCUCUCUCACACACACACACACACACACACACUUACCAACUCUCUCUCUCACACACACACACACACAUACACACACAGUUACCAAUUCUCUCUCUGUCACACACACUCACACUUACUUACUAACUCUCUCACACACACACUCACACAGGCGGGGCACAUAAUUUUGCAUUAAUAAAAUCUAAUAAUAGGUUUAUAAAAACCAAAUAAUAAUUAUUAUUUAAUCGGAACUGUUGGAGGUUGGAACUAUUGCUUAUAUAAAGAACCGUAAUUACGUGUGCGACACUCCAACGUGUAAUGAUAGGCGUUGGUCACAUGCGUUUUUAUAAGCUCGUUUUUUUCAUUCGAAGCCAUUUCCGAAACGGGGAUAAAAAUACACACACACACAAGACAAGCGCGUCACCGCAUCCACCGAUCAGACGUAACAUCAUGACCACAGACAGGCGACGUGAAUAUGACUGAUUAUCUUGUCAUGAGGAAUAUUAAACAGUGAAUUACAGCAUCUCCAAAACUUGCCUUGUCUUGCUCAUAAUCUGUAUUUUGUGCACGUCUGUAAAAAAAACCAUGAUUGUAUAUUACAUUUAUUAUAUUGUAUUGUGCUGCAUGAAAGACACCAACCGUUGGAACAGUGUGUCUGCCCGCGUCCAAUGUUUUUGUACUUUAUGUAGCCGGUUUGUCGACGUCAUACAGCAGGAGACUUCAACUAAAAUUUAAAGAGGUCCAGUUACAAAAGAUUUUUAGAAACAAAGGUCCAGAAUAUUGUUACUAUAUAUAUUGUAUAGUUAUGUAUAUAUUUACUUUACUUUACUUUACUUUAUUUAGCAGACGCUUUUAUCCAAAGCGACUUACAAUAGGAAGACACCAGCAAUUCUCGUUCGAUUUCUAUAGAAUAUCGAGUAUACAAACUAAGAGCCCUGAUAAGGCUUAGACUUGUCAUUGAAGAACAUGCUCGGAGAGUGUUGGGUGCUAGACUAAGAAAAAUUAUAAUGUAUUUAUACAUUUUGUAUUUGUUUGUUCAAUGUGUACGCAUGUGCAUGUGUAAGUGUUAGAUUUGUCUGUAAUAUUUUAGGAAUAAGAGGGUUUUCACCUUCUUCUUAAAAGUGGUGAUAGUCUCGGCUAGUCGUGUGGAGGAGGGCAGGUUGUUCCACCAGCCAGGGACAACAACGGAGAACAGACAUGAUUGGAAUCGGAGACCCCGUGAAGAAGGAAUUUUUAGUCUCCUUUCGUUUGCCGAUCUGAGAGAGCGUGCAGGAGUGUAUCUAGGUAGUAGUGUGUUGAUGUAGGAGGGCGCAGUUCCAUUUACAGCCCUGUAGGCAGCAUCAAGGAUUUGAACUCAAUGCGAGCAGCUACCGGGAGCCAUAUAUCACAGCAGCGCAUGUAUAUAUACAUUAUAUAUAUAUACACACACACACACACACACACAUAACUAUAUAAUUUGUUUUAUCAAUGAUGAUUUAAUCAA